UACGUAGGAGGCAAGCGUUGUCCGGAGUUACUGGGCGUAAAGCGUGCGCAGGCGGUUUGUUAAGUCCGUUGUGAAAGCCCCGAGCUCAACUUGGGAAUUGCAGUGGAUACUGGCAGGCUGGAGUACGGUAGAGGAAGGUGGAAUUCCCGGUGUAGCAGUGAAAUGCGUAGAUAUCGGGAGGAACACCAGUGGCGAAGGCGGCCUUCUGGACCAGUACUGACGCUCAUGCACGAAAGCGUGGGGAGCGAACAGG
rnacentral:rRNA from 1 species